AGUGAACGCUGGCGGUAGGCCUAACACAUGCAAGUCGAACGGCAGCACAGUAAGAGCUUGCUCUUACGGGUGGCGAGUGGCGGACGGGUGAGGAAUACAUCGGAAUCUACUUUUUCGUGGGGGAUAACGUAGGGAAACUUACGCUAAUACCGCAUACGACCUACGGGUGAAAGCAGGGGAUCUUCGGACCUUGCGCGAUUGAAUGAGCCGAUGUCGGAUUAGCUAGUUGGCGGGGUAAAGGCCCACCAAGGCGACGAUCCGUAGCUGGUCUGAGAGGAUGAUCAGCCACCCUGGAACUGAGAUACGGUCCAGACUCCUACGGGAGGCAGCAGUGGGGAAUAUUGGACAAUGGGCGCAAGCCUGAUCCAGCCAUACCGCGUGGGUGAAGAAGGCCUUCGGGUUGUAAAGCCCUUUUGUUGGGAAAGAAAAGCAGCAGGUUAAUACCCCGCUGUUCUGACGGUACCCAAAGAAUAAGCACCGGCUAACUUCGUG
rnacentral:rRNA from 1 species